rnacentral:lncRNA from 1 species
GAAUAAGGAACAGCAUUUCGUGAACACCUGGUACCAUUUCUGCUGCAACUAUCAUCUUUUCUUUUCUUCUUCUUCUUCUUUUUUUUUUUUUUAGUAAUCACCGUAAGACCAUUACUCUACAUUCAUUGGCUGAAAUCACAAAAGAUCUUCAUAAGAGGAGGAAACUGAGGCCCAUAGAGAGGUCCGCUACAGCUAACAGAUACACCUGUGUCUUAAGGAGUUGCUACAGGGAGGAGGC